UGCCUUAGUAACGGCGAGUGAAGCGGCAACAGCUCAAAUUUGAAAUCUGGCUUCGGCCCGAGUUGUAAUUUGCAGAGGAUGUUUAUGGUGCGGUACCUUCCGAGUUCCCUGGAACGGGACGCCACAGAGGGUGAGAGCCCCGUCUGGCUGGAUACUAAACCUGUGUUAAACUCCUUCAACGAGUCGAGUAGUUUGGGAAUGCUGCUCUAAACGGGAGGUAAAUCUCUUCUAAAGCUAAAUAUUGGCCAGAGACCGAUAGCGCACAAGUAGAGUGAUCGAAAGAUGAAAAGCACCUUGAAAAGGGGGUUAAACAGUACGUGAAAUUGUUGAAAGGGAAGCGUUUAUGACCAGACUUGUGCCGUGUGGCUCAUCCGAGGUUCUCCCCGGUGCACUCCACACGGUCCAGGCCAACAUCGGUUUUCGCCGGGGGAUAAGAACGGUAGGAACGUAGCUCCUUUCGGGGAGUGUUAUAGCCUACCGUACGAUACCCUGGCGGGGACCGAGGACCGCGCUUCGGCUAGGAUGUUGGCGUAAUGGUCAUUAGCGACCCGUCUUGAAACACGGACCAAGGAGUCGUCCAUUAGAGCGAGCGUUUGGGUGUAAAACCCGCACGCGUAAUGAAAGUGAAAUUAGGUGAGAGCUUCGGCGCAUCAUCGACCGAUCCUGAAGUUUACGGAUGGAUUUGAGUAAGAGUUUUAACGGACGGACCCGAAAGACAGUGAACUAUGCUUGAAUAGGGUGAAGCCAGAGGAAACUCUGGUGGAGGCUCGCAGCGGUUCUGACGUGCAAAUCGAUCGUCAAAUUUGAGCAUGGGGGCGAAAGACUAAUCGAAC
rnacentral:rRNA from 1 species